rnacentral:tRNA from 1 species
GACAAGGUGCCUGAUUAAAGGGCUACUUUGAUAGAGUAGAUCAUGUGGGUAACCCACCUUUGUUA